CAGAGUUGCAAAACUCCCACAAACCAUCGCGAAUCUUACCCGUACGGUUGCCUCGGCGCUGGCGGUCCGGAAGGCCCUCGGGCCCCCCGGAUCCUCGGGUCUCCCGCUCGCGGGGAGGCUGCCCGCCGGAGUGCCGAAACCAAACUCUUGAUAUUUUAUGUCUCUCUGAGUAAACUUUUAAAUAAGUCA
rnacentral:misc_RNA from 1 species